GCGGCGGACGGGUGAGUAAUGCCUAGGAAUCCGCCUGGUAGUGGGGGAUAACGUCCGGAAACGGGCGCUAAUACCGCAUACGUCCUGAGGGAGAAAGUGGGGGAUCUUCGGACCUCACGCUAUCAGAUGAGCCUAGGUCGGAUUAGCUAGUUGGUGGGGUAAAGGCCUACCAAGGCGACGAUCCGUAACUGGUCUGAGAGGAUGAUCAGUCACACUGGAACUGAGACACGGUCCAGACUCCUACGGGAGGCAGCAGUGGGGAAUAUUGGACAAUGGGCGAAAGCCUGAUCCAGCCAUGCCGCGUGUGUGAAGAAGGUCUUCGGAUUGUAAAGCACUUUAAGUUGGGAGGAAGGGCAGUAAGUUAAUACCUUGCUGUUUUGACGUUACCAACAGAAUAAGCACCGGCUAACUUCGUGCCAGCAGCCGCGGUAAUACGAAGGGUGCAAGCGUUAAUCGGAAUUACUGGGCGUAAAGCGCGCGUAGGUGGUUCAGCAAGUUGGAUGUGAAAUCCCCGGGCUCAACCUGGGAACUGCAUCC
rnacentral:rRNA from 1 species